CUACGGGAGGCUGCAGGCGCGUAACCUUUACAAUGCACGAAAGUGUGAUAAGGGAAUCCCAAGUGCUCAACAUUGUUGGGCUUUUGUUAAGUGUAAAUAGCUUGGCGAAUAAGGGGUGGGUAAGACUGGUGCCAGCCGCCGCGGUAACACCAGCGCCCCAAGUGGCAAUCACGUUUAUUGGGCCUAAAGCGUUCGUAGCAGGUCUUGACAAUCCUUUGUGAAAUCGGCAAGCUUAACUUGUCGGCGUGCAGGGGAUACUGCAAGACUCGAGACCGGGAGAAGUCAGGAGUAUUUCUGGGGUAACGGUAAAAUGUGUUAAUCCCAGGAGGACUACCAAUGGCGAAGGCACCUGACCAGAACGGAUCUGACUGUGAGGAACGAAGGCUAGGGGAGCAAACAGGAUUAGAUACCCCUGUAGUC
rnacentral:rRNA from 1 species